rnacentral:rRNA from 1 species
UGCAGUCGAACGAGACCUUCGGGUCUAGUGGCGCACGGGUGAGUAACGCGUGGAAACCUACCAUUCUGUACGGAAUAACGAUUGGAAACGAUCGCUAAUACCGUAUACGCCCUGUGGGGGAAAGGUCCGCCGCAGAAUGAGGGGUCCGCGUCCGAUUAGCUUGUUGGUGGGGUAAAAGCCUACCAAGGCGAUGAUCGGUAGCUGGUCUGAGAGGAUGAUCAGCCACACUGGGACUGAGACACGGCCCAGACUCCUACGGGAGGCAGCAGUGGGGAAUAUUGGACAAUGGGGGCAACCCUGAUCCAGCAAUGCCGCGUGUGUGAAGAAGGCCUUAGGGUUGUAAAGCACUUUCAAUGGUGAAGAUGAUGACGGUAGCCGUAAAAGAAGCCCCGGCUAACUUCGUGCCAGCAGCCGCGGUAAUACGAAGGGGGCGAGCGUUGUUCCGAAUUACUGGGCGUAAAGGGCGCGCAGGCGGCCAAUCCAGUCAGGUGUGAAAGCCCCCGGCUUAACCUGGGAACUGCACCUGAUACUGAUUGGCU